rnacentral:tRNA from 1 species
CAGAAGAUAAUUUAAUAAAAAAUAUUAAUUUUGGAGAUUAAUAAUAGUAUAGCGUUUACUUCUUCUGA